GUUUGCUUUAUAGUCCUGUAUAAAUCACUUCCUUUGAGGUCAAAGGCCACAUAUUUUUUCCUCCUCACACCUUUCCUGCUGUCUCUCUAAAACAGUGCCUUUGGAAACAUCCAAGCUGCUCCUCCUGUGUCUGGGAUGUGCUUUUAACAUACCAGAUAAAGCUUGUUUUACUGUGUGUGUAUAUAUGUGUGUGUGUGAUUGAAGCAACCUGCAAGUGGAGGAACAUCCAGUAACCUACAAUAUCUCCAGCCUUCAAAAACCCCUUUAUGUUCCACCACCAGAUGUGGAAAAACUGGAAGAGAGAAGAAGUGAGAAAUUGUGGCAAAGAGCCAGUAGGAAUUGUGUCAGAAAGAUGCUUUAGCAGUUUUGCCACACUUACCACCGGAUACUGUUAUGGUCCCUGCCUGCAGUAACACAGUCUGUGACCCAGUGUACAUCCUCAGAGAAGAGAGGCUCUCUGACUGAAUUCGCCCUCUAGGGGUGGAGAGCUGGAACGACAGCAGCUGUCACCUCAGAGGACGGAGAUGAGCAUAUCCACAACAUUCAAGAUCUCACUUUUUUUCACCCCCAUGCUUUUGGUUUUGGAUUUGGACAAAGUCAUCUUAGAUAUCAUCUUAUCUUAGAGGCAACAUAUCUCAGAGAUAAAAGGAACAUUUAUACAGCAGAUGGGCAAAGAUGUGUGCACACACUCUACCAUCAAGUUUAGUCAAAGACAUGAUAGAGCGAUCCAGCCUCACAACGGCAACACAUUAAGGCUAAACGAAGGUGUUAGUUCAGCUUGAAUGCUGCUGUCUAUCAGUCGUUCAUAUUUCAAAGCUUGUAAUUUUAAAGGUAUGAAAUGCUUCCUCCAAAGCUUUUCUGCCUGAAGGAUGAAACUCUCAGGAAGAGGGUUCCCUCAGCGAUCCUCUAUAUCUGUUAUCUCACACAUACCACAGCACACACACGUUCAAACACAUGCUUAUAUUGAUGCACACACAUACACACCUCACCUAUCUUUGUAUGGAACAUCUGCUAAGCUAUACUCUUCACCCCUCCACCUGAGCAUGAGUAAUUUUCCCUCUAUUGAUCCCCCAUUAAGGCUCUGCAACUUUCCCCAGAACAGAUGUCAGGCAAGCAUUACACAGAUUGAUGUUUUUAAUAAAAAUGCAAUAAGGAGAAAGAAGUGGAGGAGGAGGAAGAGGAGGAAGAAAGGACACUCUUCUCAUGGAGGAGAAACCUGGAGGUCUGCUUGUGGAUCCUAUAAGCAAAGCGCAGGGGGAGAGGUUGCAUAGCAAAGCUUCAAUGGUUUCUUUGGCUGAGCCAUAAGGGAUCUAUAGCACCAGCAACCUGACUGGCAGGCAGAUGGAAGCAGCCUGUGUCACAGCCUCUGUACAAUGCAGAGGAUGAAGACACCUCCAGCCUGGACAGCGAACCCUCUACUGUUCAUGUCCAUUCUGUCACAGUCUUUGAAAGAAAUGUAGAGAUGAACAAAAGUUUGAACAUUCACAGAAAUCAUAAAAAUGUAUAUUUUAUUAAUGUACUUGUUACCUGAGCAGAACUGACUGUGAUUUCUCUCUUUUUCUCAGUAUUAAUGUGAAAAGUUAAUCCCAUAUUAUACUUGUAAUUGUUUGAAUGUAAUGUACAGUAACAAC